GAUGAACGCUGGCGGCGUGCCUAAUACAUGCAAGUCGAACGCAUCACGUAAGUGGUGAGUGGCGAACGGGUGAGUAACACGUAGGUAACCUGCCUUUAAGACGAGGAUAACCAUUGGAAACGGUGGCUAAAACUGGAUAGGAACAUUGGAGGCAUCUUCGAUGUUUUAAAAGACCUAGCAAUAGGUAUACUUAAGGAGGGACCUGCGGCGCAUUAGUUAGUUGGUGAGGUAAUGGCUCACCAAGACAGUGAUGCGUAGCCGGACUGAGAGGUUGAACGGCCACAUUGGGACUGAGAAACGGCCCAAACUCCUACGGAGGCUG
rnacentral:rRNA from 1 species